GAUGAACGCUGGCGGCGUGCCUAAUACAUGCAAGUCGAGCGAAUGGAUUAAGAGCUUGCUCUUAUGAAGUUAGCGGCGGACGGGUGAGUAACACGUGGGUAACCUGCCCAUAAGACUGGGAUAACUCCGGGAAACCGGGGCUAAUACCGGAUAACAUUUUGAACCGCAUGGUUCGAAAUUGAAAGGCGGCUUCGGCUGUCACUUAUGGAUGGACCCGCGUCGCAUUAGCUAGUUGGUGAGGUAACGGCUCACCAAGGCAACGAUGCGUAGCCGACCUGAGAGAGUGAUCGGCCACACUGGGACUGGGACACGGCCCAGACUCCCACGGGAGGCAGCAGUAGGGAAUCUUCCGCAAUGGACGAAAGUCUGACGGAGCAACGCCGCGUGAGUGAUGAAGGCUUUCGGGUCGUAAAACUCUGUUGUUAGGGAAGAACAAGUGCUAGUUGAAUAAGCUGGCACCUUGACGGUACCUAACCAGAAAGCCACGGCUAACUACGUGCCAGCCGCCGCGGUAA
rnacentral:rRNA from 1 species